rnacentral:rRNA from 1 species
ACUUUAUCUUGGGAAACUGCGAAGGGUUCAUUAAAUCAGUUAUGAUCUACGUGACAAACUCUUUACUACUGGGAUCCCCGGGGAUUUUUCUAGAUCUAAUACGUGCAAAAAACCCCUGACUUACAAAGGUGUGCAUUUAUUAUAUAAAACCAACGCGUGGUAAAACCUGGUUCUUGGUGAAUCAUAAAUAAUUAUCGGGAGCGCAUGGCCUUGUGCCGGCAACGGUCCAUUCGAUUUUCUGCCCUAUCAUGUUUGAGAUUGUAGGAUAGACGCUUACAAUGCCUAUACGGGGUAA